GAAAUGCGAUACGUAGUGUGAAUUGCAGAAUUCAGUGAAUCAUCGAAUCUUUGAACGCACAUUGCGCCCUUUGGUAUUCCAAAGGGCAUGCCUGUUCGAGCGUCAUUUGUACCCUCAAGCUUUGCUUGGUGUUGGGCGUUUUUGUCUUUGGCCCGCCAAAGACUCGCCUUAAAAUGAUUGGCAGCCGGCCUACUGGUUUCGCAGCGCAGCACAUUUUUGCGCUUGCAAUCAGCAAAAGAGGAUGGCAAUCCAUCAAGACUCCUUCUCACGUUUGACCUCGGAUCAGGUAGGGAUACCCGCUGAACUUAAGC
rnacentral:misc_RNA from 1 species